rnacentral:rRNA from 1 species
AUUGAACGCUGGCGGCAGGCCUAACACAUGCAAGUCGAACGGUAACAGGAAGAAGCUUGCUUCUUUGCUGACGAGUGGCGGACGGGUGAGUAAUGUCUGGGAAACUGCCUGAUGGAGGGGGAUAACUACUGGAAACGGUAGCUAAUACCGCAUAAUGUCGCAAGACCAAAGAGGGGGACCUUCGGGCCUCUUGCCAUCGGAUGUGCCCAGAUGGGAUUAGCUAGUAGGUGGGGUAACGGCUCACCUAGGCGACGAUCCCUAGCUGGUCUGAGAGGAUGACCAGCCACACUGGAACUGAGACACGGUCCAGACUCCUACGGGAGGCAGCAGUGGGGAAUAUUGCACAAUGGGCGCAAGCCUGAUGCAGCUAUGCCGCGUGUAUGAAGAAGGCCUUCGGGUUGUAAAGUACUUUCAGCGGGGAGGAACGGAGUAAAGUUAAUACCUUUGCUCAUUGACGUUACCCGCAGAAGAAGCACCGGCUAACUCCGUG